rnacentral:piRNA from 1 species
UCUUUUGUAAGUGCCUGAAUAAGUAAG